GCCGGGCGUGGUGGCGCGCGCCUGUAGUCCCAGCUACUCGGGAGGCUGAGGUGGGAGGAUCGCUUGAGUCCAGGAGUUCUGGGCUGCAGUGCGCUAUGCCGAUCGGGUGUCCGCACUAAGUUCGGCAUCAAUAUGGUGACCUCCCGGGAGCGGGGGACCACCAGGUUGCCUAAGGAGGGGUGAACCGGCCCAGGUCGGAAACGGAGCAGGUCAAAACUCCCGUGCUGAUCAGAAAAAUCUAUUUGUCUGGCCACACGUGAAAAUUGGAAAUGCACGGGUUGAAACACAGAUUCCUCACAUCUCU
ensembl:misc_RNA Metazoa_SRP Metazoan signal recognition particle RNA